rnacentral:rRNA from 1 species
GACGAACGCUGGCGGCGUGCUUAACACAUGCAAGUCGAACGGAAAGGCCCUGCUUUUGUGGGGUGCUCGAGUGGCGAACGGGUGAGUAACACGUGAGUAACCUGCCCUUUACUUUGGGAUAACUUCAGGAAACUGGGGCUAAUACCGGAUAGGAGCUCCUGCUGCAUGGUGGGGGUUGGAAAGUUUCGGCGGUUGGGGAUGGACUCGCGGCUUAUCAGCUUGUUGGUGGGGUAGUGGCUUACCAAGGCUUUGACGGGUAGCCGGCCUGAGAGGGUGACCGGACAGGUUGGGACUGAGAUACGGCCCAGACUACUACGGGAGGCAGCAGUGGGAAAUAUUGCACAAUGGGCGGAAGCCUGAUGCAGCAACGCCGCGUGCGGGAUGACGGCCUUCGGGUUGUAAACCGCUUUCGCCUGUGACGAAGCGUGAGUGACGGUAAUGGGUAAAGAAGCACCGGCUAACUACGUG